rnacentral:rRNA from 1 species
AAUCAACGCUGGCGGCGUGCCUAACACAUGCAAGUCGAGCGAGAAAAGGGGAGCAAUCCCCUGAGUACAGCGGCGCACGGGUGAGUAACACGUGGGUAAUCUGCCCUGGAGUGGGGAAUAACACCGGGAAACCGGUGCUAAUACCGCCUAACAUCAGAUUAUCGCAUGGUAGACUGAUCAAAGGAGCAAUCCGCUAUAAGAUGGGCCCGCGUCGCAUUAGCUAGUUGGUGAGGUAACGGCUAACCAAGGCGACGAUGCGUAGCCGACCUGAGAGGGUGAUCGGCCACAUUGGGACUGAGACACGGCCCAGACUCCUACGGGAGGCAGCAGUGGGGAAUAUUGCACAAUGGGGGAAACCCUGAUGCAGCAACGCCGCGUGAGUGAUGAAGGCCUUCGGGUUGUAAAGCUCUUUGAUCAGGGACGAUAAUGACGGUACCUGAAGAACAAGCCACGGCUAACUACGUGCCAGCCGCCGCGGUAAUAC